UAAUUUCAUUUUCGACUCCUUAAAGUGAAUAUGACCCGGAUUGUGCACUAUAUUACAUUAAUUUGGUUUAUUUUUGGAAUAACCUCAAGGCGACA